AUCUGGCUCAGAUUGAACGCUGGCGGCAGGCCUAACACAUGCAAGUCGAGCGGUAGAGGAGGUGCUUGCAUCUCUUGAGAGCGGCGGACGGGUGAGUAAUGCCUAGGAAUCUGCCUAGUGGUGGGGGGAUAACGUUCGGAAACGGACGCUAAUACCGCAUACGUCCUACGGGAGAAAGCGGGGGGAUCUUCGGACCUCGCGCCAUUAGAUGAGCCUAGGUCGGAUUAGCUAGUAGGUGAGGUAAUGGCUCACCUAGGCGACGAUCCGUAACUGGUCUGAGAGGAUGAUCAGUCACACUGGAACUGAGACACGGUCCAGACUCCUACGGGAGGCAGCAGUGGGGAAUAUUGGACAAUGGGCGAAAGCCUGAUCCAGCCAUGCCGCGUGUGUGAAGAAGGUCUUCGGAUUGUAAAGCACUUUAAGUUGGGAGGAAGGGUAGUAACCUAAUACGUUGCUACUUUGACGUUACCGACAGAAUAAGCACCGGCUAACUUCGUG
rnacentral:rRNA from 1 species